AGAGGAGGGCAGGGUCUGCUCUCUGACCACUGCUGUGUAAUACAGGGAGAGAGGCUAAACGGUGCUCUCAUGCAUGGGUGGGCACCAUGUGAGGGUGGACGCCAUCAUGGGUGGGUGCGGUCCAAAGGGGGCAUGCGCUAUGUUUUAGGCGGAGGAGGAAAUUUAAACAUUGUUCUUUCUCCAUCUUUUCUGCACGCUCUAUCUUUUAAUUUUUUGAAAACUAAAGACAGACAAGAGGAUUCAGAGGACUUGGAAAUGGCUGCCUGGCCGUAGGGGAUCGGCCCUCACCUGUGACAUCCCACUCCUUCAACUGUGCCUUGGCUCCCGUGAAAGCUUGCUCGUGGCAUCUUCCUUCCAUCGCAUGCAGUGGGAGUUAGUAAGGACCUGGGAUAUGGAUACCGUCAUCUUCCUGAUCCCACAGAUCCAGCCUGAGCCACAAAAGGCUUCUUUUGUUCCUCACAGGACUCUCCCCUCUGUGCUGCUGGAGAGAACAGGCCAUUCGGACUGAAGGUGACCUUGGAGAAGGUUCUGCGAAGCCUGGCUCAUUUCCAGCCGACUGAGGAAAAGCAGGAGACUGUAUCGGUCAACAGCGGAAGUCCUCAGCUCAGCUAGAGACAGUGUUCCAGCUGCAGUCUGUUACCAGUGUUCUUCAGUCCCUCCUUUUCUCUGUGCCAGCACAGACAGACGGAGCUAAGUGACAAGGGUCUGCGCCACCCCAGGUCACAGUCACUUGUGCUCUCACCGCCCGUGUAGAUGGGGAUGCGAGGCAAGAGAGCUCCUGCAGAGGGAAUCACUCAGGAGUCGUGUCUUGCUGGAUUGACAGCAGCUCCAAAACUGAGCGGAAGCAAGUGAGAACCAUAGCAGGAAUUCGACAAAAUUAGAAAGCGACAGGACUUGAAUCUGGGAUGUUCUCCACAGGCUCAGGCUCCAACUUGUGCUGUUUCCUGGAGUGGUGGACCAGUUAGGAGAUGCGGCCUGAGCCAGAGAAGCAGGGCAUAGCCUUUGGUUCGAGUGGAGAGCUGUUCUUUGAAAUCUUUUCAUGCCAAAGAGAAGGGAUACAACAGAGUGCCGGCCACCAUGUCCACGCUCUCAGAAAGAGGAAUGUUCUGGAAGCAAAGCAUGGCCUGAGUGGCUCUCGAGAUGUGAGCUCAGCUAAACUAAGACUUACUUCAUCCUUCAGACCUGCAGCCUCGGAGCUUCAGAGUGAGGCCUUGAAUGGCCCCACCAAUGGGAUAAAGAAAUAAUUGCUGGUGAUUUCAGUUGCCCUGUAGGUGAGGGAUCAAUAUAUCAGAGAGGACUGCUUACCAAACUUUGUACAGGAGUCUGGAAAUUUUGACUGUGUCUCCGAAGUGUGUAACAGUUAAUAGAUAGCAGAAUGUGAGCCUCUGUGUGGAUGGGUUUCUAUGCCCUUGGGAAUCCUGCGAGAUAAAUCUGUUUUCUCUUUUUAUUAUAAGACUUUUGUCACCAGCUGCACUUGAGUUUUCAUACAGAGAAACCCCCAAAUCACACCGCAUGAAGUGUCACAAAUCACACACGCGAUCUGUAGCCAUGCGUGACAAAGGGACCUCGGUUCAGCACUGAAGUUCUGCAGAAAGGCAUUUCACCUUAUCUCCUCAGAUCUUAUAUUUUUUUUCCUCAAGCCCUCAUUUCCAUUAUAUUCAUUUUCGGAGUGGCACAUGGAGGUAACAUUUUUCCAUAGCCAAUUAUCUUGGGCCGAUCUCCGGCUCUUUCCUUACUCCUUCACAAAAUGCAGGCAGUAGCUGAUGCUAUGUUUCACUCAAAUUAUCCGUUGCUGUAACGCAGGAUUUAAAGCAUGUGCCUGGUUUUUAUUGACUAGGCUUAUUUCUUGUCAUUGUCUGUUCCCUUACCAUGACCUGAUCGACUAUUCUAAUAAAGAGGUUCUAGCAUUCUCUUUUCAA
rnacentral:lncRNA from 1 species